UCUUUAUAUAUACAUUCACCUUCUUGCUUCCUGCUUACCAACUAUAUAUAUUGCUUGGUGCUCGACAUGGUGGAAUAUUAUGAGUUUGGUGUACUAGAACAAGAGUUUCACCAUUUUUUUGCGGCCUUUUUCUUGGAUUUUCCUUGAUGUCGUCUAGGUGAAUGGCCUUUGGAGAACCUUGUCUCUGCUGAAGAAUUAACUCGGCGUACAUGGGAAAGCCAGGCAUUUUUUUUUUUUUUUGUUUUUCUUCAGUAGUAUUUUCUUUUUCUCUUCUCUCACAAUUUUUCUUAUAUAAUGUAUUCCGUUAAGUUACGGAUAGAUAAUGGAUUUUUCUUAUAUUGUAACGGAGCUGCACUACUAGAAAAAGUGGAAUAGACAUCACACUUCAGACAUCAGUUAGAAUUGCCACUGAUGUUAAAAAUGUUUUUAACAUCAUUUUCACUUAAACUGAUGUGUUAAAGUGCUUUAGACAUCAGUUAUUUAUGCAACUGAUAUGUAAGGUACAUGUUUAAAAAAAGUUUCCACCAUUCCCAC
rnacentral:lncRNA from 1 species